AUCUGCUUUACUAUUCUAGCCCAGGACAGGCUUGCUGUAGCUGUAUAAUUGCAGAUUUCUCAAUGCAGGCCAAUGAGAAGUUUUUGCAAAGCAGGUGCUCUUCUGGGCAAUUGCCUGGCUAUUGAAUUUAGCACACUGAGCUAAUCAAACUAUUAAGAAGCAGGACAAGUUAUCUGCUUGAAAACCAAGGGGUAUCACAAGAUUAAUU